rnacentral:siRNA from 1 species
UGCGGUAGAUUCGUUCCUCGUG